CUCUUCCGCCGCCAUUUUAAAUCCAGCUCCACACAACGCUCCGCCGCCGCUGAUGCCGCGACCCGGACUGCGCGCCAGCACCCCCCUGCCGACAGCUCCGCCACUAUGGAGGAUAUGAACGAGUACAGCAACAUAGAAGAAUUCGCAGAGGGAUCCAAGAUAAACGCGAGCAAGAAUCAGCAGGAUGACGGUAAAAUGUUUAUUGGAGGCUUGAGCUGGGAUACAAGCAAAAAAGAUCUGACAGAGUAUUUGUCUCGAUUUGGGGAAGUUGUAGACUGCACAAUUAAAACAGAUCCAGUCACUGGGAGAUCAAGAGGAUUUGGAUUUGUGCUUUUCAAAGAUGCUGCUAGUGUUGAUAAGGUUUUGGAACUGAAAGAACACAAACUGGAUGGCAAAUUGAUAGAUCCCAAAAGGGCCAAAGCUUUAAAAGGGAAAGAACCCCCCAAAAAGGUUUUUGUGGGUGGAUUGAGCCCGGAUACUUCUGAAGAACAAAUUAAAGAAUAUUUUGGAGCCUUUGGAGAGAUUGAAAAUAUUGAACUUCCCAUGGAUACAAAAACAAAUGAGAGAAGAGGAUUUUGUUUUAUCACAUACACCGAUGAAGAGCCAGUAAAAAAAAUUAUUAGAAAGCAGAUACCAUCAAAUUGGUUCUGGGAAGUGUGAAAUCAAAGUUGCACAACCCAAAGAGGUAUAUAGGCAGCAACAGCAACAACAAAAAGGUGGAAGAGGUGCUGCGGCUGGUGGCCGAGGUGGUACGAGGGGUCAUGGCCGAGGUCAGGGCCAAAACUGGAACCAAGGAUUUAAUAACUAUUAUGAUCAAAGAUAUGGAAAUUACAAUAGUGCCUGUGGUGGUGAUCAAAACUAUAGUGGCUAUGGCGGAUAUGAUUAUAUUGGGUAUAACUAUAGGAACUAUGGAUAUGGACAGGGAUAUGCAGACUACAGUGGUCAACAGAGCACUUAUGGCAAGGCAUCUCGAGGGGGUGGCAAUCACCAAAACAAUUACCAGCCAUACUAAAGGAGAACAUUGGAGAAAACAGGAGGAGAUGUUAAAGUAACCCAUCUUGCAGGAUGACAUUGAAGAUUGGUCUCCUGUUGAUCUAAGAUGAUUAUUUUGUAAAAGACUUUCUAGUGUACAAGACACGAUUGUGUCCAACUGUAUAUAGCUGCCAAUUAGUUUUCUUUGUUUUUACUUUGUCCUUUGCUGUGUUAUGACUCAAUGUGGAUUUGUUUAUACACAUUUUAUUUGUAUCAUUUCAUGUUAAACUUCAAAUAAAUGCUUCCUUAUGUG